AUGCGCGCCGUUCCACGAGCCACUCCACCGGUCGGCCUGAUCCCCUCAUCGGCUCGGGAUCCAGCGCAGAUCCUUGUCGGCCGGUGUCAUCACCGCCCCCUAACGAGCCGCUGGCAGGGGCCGGGUCCCGGAUCUUCUGCGCCGGGUCACGUGUCCUCUUCAUCAGCUGAAGCCGCAGAAGAUCCCGGCUUCAUCUCCUGUGGACAGAUCUGGUGCAGGACCGAGGCGGCUGAUGGAUCUUCUGUGCAUCCUGCGGCUAUACCUUCCUCACAAACACGUACACGUCUUCAAAAAGGGGUAAUUAAACCUGUCAAUUACAAGCAUAUUACCAAGUUUGGCAUGGCAUGUACCACGGGUGAACCGACUUCUUUGCAAGAAGCAUUUGGUGAUUUGAAGUGGAAAAGGGCUAUGGAAGAAGAAUACAUGGCUCUUCAGAAGAACAAAACAUGGCAUUUGGUUCCCCCAAAGCAAGGUAAAAAUUUGAUAGAUUGCAAAUGGGUAUUCAGAAUCAAGAGAAAAUCUGAUGGAACAAUAGAUCGCUAUAAAGCUAGACUGGUUGCAAAAGGAUUCAAACAAAGGUAUGGCAUAGGCUAUGAAGAUACCUUUAGUCCAGUUGUAAAAAUUGAUACCAUUCGUCUUGUUCUGUCUAUUGCUGUUUCAAGAGGAUGGAGUCUCAGGCAACUAGACGUACAGAACGCGUUCCUCCAUGGUGUUCUGGAAGAAGAGGUUUACAUGAAACAGCCUCCUGGGUUUGAAAACAGAAAAUUUCCCUCUCAUGUCUCCAGGCUUGAUAAGGCCAUUUAUGGGUUGAAGCAAGCUCCUAGAGCAUGGUAUUCCAGGCUCAGUCAUAAACUGCAAGCUCUUGGUUUCAUUCCUUCUAAGUCUGACACUUCCUUGUUUAUAUACAAUAGGUCAAAUACAUCUAUAUUUGUACUUAUUUAUGUGGAUGAUAUAAUUGUUACAAGCUUAUCUGAUGAGGCAGUGGCAGGACUAUUAAAGGAUUUGAGUGCUGAGUUUGCUUUGAAGGAUCUUGGAGACUUGCAUUUUUUCUUAGGGAUUGAAGUCAAGAAACAUGGUAAUGAUCUUCAUCUCUCUCUCAAGAAAAGUAUGCUACUGACCUAG
rnacentral:rRNA from 1 species